rnacentral:rRNA from 1 species
GUCCACGCAGUAAACGAUGAAUACUAGCUGUAUGCGAUAUACUGUAUGUGGCACAGCGAAAGCGUUAAGUAUUCCACCUGGGGAGUACGUUCGCAAGAAUGAAACUCAAAGGAAUUGACGGGGGCCCGCACAAGCGGAGGAACAUGUGGUUUAAUUCGAUGAUACGCGAGGAACCUUACCCGGGCUUGAAAUGCAGACGACCGAUCAGGAAACUGAUCUUCCAGCAAUGGCGUCUGUGUAGGUGCUGCAUGGUUGUCGU